rnacentral:rRNA from 1 species
GGACAACAGACGGAAACGACUGCUAAUACCGAAUAAGUUCCAAGAGCCGCAUGGCCCAUGGAAGAAAAGGUGGCCUCUACCUGUAAGCUAUCGCCUGAAGAGGGGUUUGCGUCUGAUUAGCUGGUUGGAGGGGUAACGGCCCACCAAGGCGACGAUCAGUAGCCGGUCUGAGAGGAUGAACGGCCACACUGGAACUGAGACACGGUCCAGACUCCUACGGGAGGCAGCAGUGGGGAAUCUUCCGCAAUGGGCGAAAGCCUGACGGAGCAACGCCGCGUGAGUGAUGACGGCCUUCGGGUUGUAAAACUCUGUGAUCCGGGACGAAAAGGCAGAGUGCGAAGAACAAACUGCAUUGACGGUACCGGAAAAGCAAGCCACGGCUAACUACGUGCCAGCAGCCGCGGUAAUACGUAGGUGGCAAGCGUUGUCCGGAAUUAUUGGGCGUAAAGCGCGCGCAGGCGGCUUCCCAAGUCCCUCUUAAAAGUGCGGGGCUUAACCCCGUGAUGGGAAGGAAACUGGGAAGCUGGAGUAUCGGAGAGGAAAGUGGAAUUCCUAGUGUAGCGGUGAAAUGCGUAGAGAUUAGGAAGAACACCGGUGGCGAAGGCGACUUUCUGGACGAAAACUGACGCUGAGGCGCGAAAGCGUGGGGAGCAAACAGGAUUAGAUACCCUGGUAGUCCACGCCGUAAACGAUGGAUACUAGGUGUAGGAGGUAUCGACCCCUCCUGUGCCGGAG